rnacentral:rRNA from 1 species
UACGGAGGGUGCAAGCGUUAUUCGGAAUGACUGGGCGUAAAGUGUGCGUAGGCUGCUUGUAAAGUCUAGUGUGAAAUCCCUAAACUCAAUUUAGGAAGUGCAUUAGAUACUUAUAAGCUAGAGUACAGGAGAGGUAAGCGGAAUUACUGGUGUAGAGGUGAAAUUCGUAGAUAUCAGUAGGAACAACAGAGGCGAAGGCGGCUUCCUGGCCUGCUCUUGACGCUGAGGCGCGAAAGCUAGGGUAGCAAACGGG